GACGAACGCUGGCGGCGUGCUUAACACAUGCAAGUCGAACGGAAAGGCCCUGCUUUUGUGGGGUGCUCGAGUGGCGAACGGGUGAGUAACACGUGAGUAACCUGCCCUUGACUUUGGGAUAACUUCAGGCAACUGGGGCUAAUACCGGAUAGGAGCUCCUGCUGCAUGGUGGGGGUUGGAAAGUUUAGGCGGUUGGGGAUGGACUCGCGGCUUAUCAGCUUGUUGGUGGGGUAGUGGCUUACCAAGGCUUCGGCGGGUAGCCGGCCUGAGAGGGUGGACGGCGACAUUAGGACUGAGGUAGGGCGCAGUGGCGUACGGGAGGCAGCAGUGGAAAAUAUUGCACAAUGGGCGGGAGCGUGAUGCGACAACGCCGCGUGCGUGAUGACGGCCUUGGGGUUAGAAACCGCUUUCGCCUGUGACGAAGCGUGAGUGACGGUAAUGGGUAAAGAAGCACCGGCUAACUACGUG
rnacentral:rRNA from 1 species